CCUACGGGGGGCAGCAGUGGGGAAUAUUGGACAAUGGGGGCAACCCUGAUCCAGCCAUGCCGCGUGUGUGAAGAAGGCCCUCGGGUUGUAAAGCACUUUCAGUGAGGAAGAACGCCUGGUGGUUAAUACCCAUCAGGAAAGACAUCACUCACAGAAGAAGCACCGGCUAACUCCGUGCCAGCAGCCGCGGUAAUACGGAGGGUGCGAGCGUUAAUCGGAAUUACUGGGCGUAAAGCGCGCGUAGGUGGCUUGAUAAGCCGGUUGUGAAAGCCCCGGGCUCAACCUGGGAACGGCAUCCGGAACUGUCAAGCUAGAGUGCAGGAGAGGAAGGUAGAAUUCCCGGUGUAGCGGUGAAAUGCGUAGAGAUCGGGAGGAAUACCAGUGGCGAAGGCGGCCUUCGGGACUGACACUGACACUGAGGUGCGAAAGCGUGGGUAGCAAACAGGAUUAGAUACCUAGUAGUC
rnacentral:rRNA from 1 species